rnacentral:rRNA from 1 species
UACAGAGGUCUCGAGCGUUAGGCGGAAUCACUGGGCUUAAAGCGUGUGUAGGCGGAUCGUUAAGUACCUUGUGAAAUCCCACGGCUUAACCGUGGAACUGCUUGGUAUACUGGCGGUCUUGAGCCAGCUAGGGGCGACCGGAACAAAUGGUGGAGCGGUGAAAUGCGUAGAUAUCAUUUGGAACGCCAAUGGUGAAAACAGGUCGCUGGGGCUGUGCUGACGCUGAGACACGAAAGCCAGGGGAGCAAACAGG